CGUACACUCCUGCGGGAGGCAGCAGUGGGGAAUAUUGCACAAUGGGCGCAAGCCUGAUGCAGCCAUGCCGCGUGUAUGAAGAAGGCCUUCGGGUUGUAAAGUACUUUCAGCGGGGAGGAAGGUGUUGAGGUUAAUAACCUCAGCAAUUGACGUUACCCGCAGAAGAAGCACCGGCUAACUCCGUGCCAGCAGCCGCGGUAAUACGGAGGGUGCAAGCGUUAAUCGGAAUUACUGGGCGUAAAGCGCACGCAGGCGGUCUGUCAAGUCGGAUGUGAAAUCCCCGGGCUCAACCUGGGAACUGCAUUCGAAACUGGCAGUCUAGAGUCUUGUAGAGGGUGGUAGAAUUCCAGGUGUAGCGGUGAAAUGCGUAGAGAUCUGGAGGAAUACCGGUGGCGAAGGCGGCCCCCUGGACAAAGACUGACGCUCAGGUGCGAAAGCGUGGGGAGCAAACAGGAUUAGAAACCCCUGUAGUCCCAU
rnacentral:rRNA from 1 species